rnacentral:snRNA from 1 species
GCACUUACCUGGACGGGGUCAACAGCCGAUCAAGAAGAGCUGUGGCCUAGAUCAAUGGCUCACAUUGCACCUUGUUGAGUGUGUUGGCCUACCAUCUCCCUACGGGGAGAGUGGACGUCAUAAUUUGUGCUAGAGGGGGUACGCGUUCGCGCGGCCCCUG